rnacentral:rRNA from 1 species
UACAGAGGUCUCAAGCGUUGUUCGGAUUCAUUGGGCGUAAAGGGUGCGUAGGCGGCGCGGUAAGUCGGGUGUGAAAUCUCGGAGCUUAACUCCGAAACUGCAUUCGAUACUGCCGUGCUUGAGGACUGGAGAGGAGACUGGAAUUUACGGUGUAGCGGUGAAAUGCGUAGAUAUCGUAAGGAAGACCAGUGGCGAAGGCGGGUCUCUGGACAGUUCCUGACGCUGAGGCACGAAGGCCCAGGGGGAGCAAACGGGG